CAUUUGUAACCUGUAACCCAGCCAACCAUUACCUUACGUGUGGGUUAUUACGUACAGUAACCACUGAAGCGAUUGUACACAACGUAACAACUGAAAACCUAUAGAUAGGUAGGAGUUCGUUCUACUCUAAUCAUCCUACUGUGGAAAAUCAGGAUGGGACGUUAUAACGCUGGUUAUCUGCUGGUUCUGCUUAUGCUUCUGCUUGUUACAGAUGUUGAUGGACGCCGUAGUGGAGGACGUUCAGUCAGAUACUACCGCUCUGGCUACUACUAUGGCGGUGGCAGUACCGGGGGAGCGUCAACGGGCGGCUUAAACAGUGGGGCUAUCAUCGGUAUUGUCACAGGAGUCAUCGGGAUAGGCAUUUGUAUGCGUUAUUUUCCGCUUUGGGGACAAAUGUAGCACGUAGGAAACACAAAAUGGGCAGCACGUAUCAGCAUAGUUAAUGAUCCAUAUCUCGCUUGGAUACACAUCUUACGUUGUAAUAUCACACAAAAAAAAGUGAUUUCUUAACUUCUUGAUAAUGUUAACGAGAGAUGCAUUAUUUUGAUAACUUUAUUGUACUUAAUUUAAACACAGAUACAAACGGUGAUAAAUGAAUGCAUGUACUUUUUAUAAUGUUGUAUUUUUUCUUUGUAAUGUAACUAUGAAUUGGUAUUAUUCAUUUGAAUUAAAAGGUUUACUAUAAACAUACUUUAUGCACCUUCAACUCAAAGAUAACCCAACAGCAAAUUGAAGUUGAAAAUGGCCACCGAAGGUGACAUUUAAUGACAAAUUAUUACAUGACAUACAUUUUAUCACAAGUUAAUUUACAUAAUCUAGAUUACAAAAUGUACAUCAAUACACACUGUUUUGCUAAUUAUCUAAUUAUGACCUUUAGCCAUAGUGGGGUUGUAAAAAUCCGCCCAAAAUGAAGAAAUGAAAUUUUUUAGAAGGGUGGAAAGAGGGUGGGUUUAAAUUUGAUCCCGUAAACUGCUGUAUAAGAUACUGUUUAACUAUUUAUAAGAUAAAUAAAGUUCUCUCGUGGAGGCUGAACGCAAACUUUUUUCUGCUUAAGCUGGAAGUGACGCUACAAAGUGCGCAUGCGUGUUAAGAUUGUUCCCUAAUAUGGCUUGACCAAUCAAAUUAGAGGAAAAGUUUCUAAUCCGAUUAUAUAAAAUAAUUUGAAUUUGAAAUGCCUACUUUUUAAUAUAAAAUCAUACUAACAUAAUUUAAAAAUUAAUUCCCUAAUGAUUUGGGAGUAUAAUCAUGAACUGAGAUCAAUAGGUUUCUUUGAGUUUUUCAAGGCAUAAAUUAAGCUAAUAAAUUAGCUGCCUUUUAUGCUCCUUCAACUCAAAGAUAACCCAACAGCAAAUUGAAGUUGAAAAUGGCCACCGAAGGUGACAUUUAAUGACAAAUUAUUACAUGACAUACAUUUGAUCACAAGUUAAUUUACAUAAUCUAGAUUACAAAAUGUACAUCAAUACACACUGUUUUGCUAAUUAUCUAAUUAUGACCUUUAGCCAUAGUGGGGUUGUAAAAAUCCGCCACAAAGGUGUAUAUAUCUCAUCCAGAGGUGCAAAUGUACUGACCAUAGGGAGAAAGGAAAAGGACAUGGUAUAUGAUUUCUCAACUCUGAAUGUUUUAUGUUUUAUGGUUUUUUUUAUAACGAAUCAAGGCAGUUUGUUCAUAUAUCGGCUAUACAAUUAAUGUAUAAAUCUAUUAACUUUUAUUGUAUAUAACGAUAGCAAAUGUGAACCCUAUUUUUCUUCAGCAUUAUACAUGUUAUUUUCUAUAAAAACAGAACGAAUUUGUAUACAUGUCACUUGUGUCUCCAGCUUUAUUGAUAUGUUGUCAGAAUACAGAGAGAAGUAACAAAAGUUUAGCCAUAUACUUUACUUCAGCUUUAACGGGAUUGUUCAGAUGUAUAUCAAGCUUCAAAAUACGAAUGUCGACUUGAUUAGUAUUACAAUAUAAAAUCGAUAUGUUUUCCUCAAUAUUUAUCUCGUAUGAUUCCGCAGUAAUACUCCAGCUAUUAUUACGGAUUGUGUUCAAUAAGAUUCGUCGAUUAUUUGGAAGUACUUUCUUUCUUACUUUAUUUUCUGUUACUUGACUUUAAAUAAUAAAGGUGCAUUUUGUACUAGA